rnacentral:rRNA from 1 species
UAUUAUGUAAAUAAAAUUGARUAAGUUUACUUAUUCAUUAAAUUUUAUGCCUCAACUCAACACA